rnacentral:rRNA from 1 species
GUACACAAAAAUGCACAUGCUGUGAGCUCGAUGAGUAGGGCGGGACACGUGGUAUCCUGUCUGAAUAUGGGGGGACCAUCCUCCAAGGCUAAAUACUCCUGACUGACCGAUAGUGAACCAGUACCGUGAGGGAAAGGCGAAAAGAACCCCGGCGAGGGGAGUGAAAAAGAACCUGAAACCGUGUACGUACAAGCAGUGGGAGCACGCUUAGGCGUGUGACUGCGUACCUUUUGUAUAAUGGGUCAGCGACUUAUAUUCUGUAGCAAGGUUAACCGAAUAGGGGAGCCGAAGGGAAACCGAGUCUUAACUGGGCGUUAAGUUGCAGGGUAUAGACCCGAAACCCGGUGAUCUAGCCAUGGGCAGGUUGAAGGUUGGGUAACACUAACUGGAGGACCGAACCGACUAAUGUUGAAAAAUUAGCGGAUGACUUGUGGCUGGGGGUGAAAGGCCAAUCAAACCGGGAGAUAGCUGGUUCUCCCCGAAAGCUAUUUAGGUAGCGCCUCGUGAAUUCAUCUCCGGGGGUAGAGCACUGUUUCGGCAAGGGGGUCAUCCCGACUUACCAACCCGAUGCAAACUGCGAAUACCGGAGAAUGUUAUCACGGGAGACACACGGCGGGUGCUAACGUCCGUCGUGAAGAGGGAAACAACCCAGACCGCCAGCUAAGGUCCCAAAGUCAUGGUUAAGUGGGAAACGAUGUGGGAAGGCCCAGACAGCCAGGAUGUUGGCUUAGAAGCAGCCAUCAUUUAAAGAAAGCGUAAUAGCUCACUGGUCGAGUCGGCCUGCGCGGAAGAUGUAACGGGGCUAAACCAUGCACCGAAGCUGCGGCAGCGACGCUUAUGCGUUGUUGGGUAGGGGAGCGUUCUGUAAGCCUGCGAAGGUGUGCUGUGAGGCAUGCUGGAGGUAUCAGAAGUGCGAAUGCUGACAUAAGUAACGAUAAAGCGGGUGAAAAGCCCGCUCGCCGGAAGACCAAGGGUUCCUGUCCAACGUUAAUCGGGGCAGGGUGAGUCGACCCCUAAGGCGAGGCCGAAAGGCGUAGUCGAUGGGAAACAGGUUAAUAUUCCUGUACUUGGUGUUACUGCGAAGGGGGGACGGAGAAGGCUAUGUUGGCCGGGCGACGGUUGUCCCGGUUUAAGCGUGUAGGCUGGUUUUCCAGGCAAAUCCGGAAAA